rnacentral:rRNA from 1 species
GGGGAAUAUUGCACAAUGGGGGAAACUCUGAUGCAGCGACGCCGCGUGAGUGAAGAAGUAUUUCGGUAUGUAAAGCUCUAUCAGCAGGGAAGACAGUGACGGUACCUGACUAAGAAGCUCCGGCUAAAUACGUGCCAGCAGCCGCGGUAAUACGUAUGGAGCAAGCGUUAUCCGGAUUUACUGGGUGUAAAGGGAGUGUAGGUGGUAUCACAAGUCAGAAGUGAAAGCCCGGGGCUCAACCCCGGGACUGCUUUUGAAACUGUGGAACUGGAGUGCAGGAGAGGUAAGUGGAAUUCCUAGUGUAGCGGUGAAAUGCGUAGAUAUUAGGAGGAACACCAGUGGCGAAGGCGGCCUGCUGGACGACAACUGACGCUGAGGCGCGAAAGCGUGGGGAGCAAACAGGAUUAGAUACCCUGGUAGUCCACGCUGUAAACGAUGAAUACUAGGUGUGGGGGGACUGACCCCUUCCGUGCCGCAGUUAACACAAUAAGUAAUCCACCUGGGGAGUACGACCGCAAGGUUGAAACUCAAAGGAAUUGACGGGGGCCCGCACAAGCAGUGGAGUAUGUGGUUUAAUUCGAAGCAACGCGAAGAACCUUACCAGGUCUUGACAUCCGAUGCAUAGCGCAGAGAUGCGUGAAGUCCUUCGGGACAUCGAGACAGGUGGUGCAUGGUUGUCGUCAGCUCGUGUCGUGAGAUGUUGGGUUAAGUCCCGCAACGAGCGCAACCCUUAUUGCCAGUUACUACGCAAGAGGACUCUGGCGAGACUGCCGUUGACAAAACGGAGGAAGGUGGGGAUGACGUCAAAUCAUCAUGCCCUUUAUGACCUGGGCUACACACGUACUACAAUGGCGUUUAACAAAGAGAAGCAAGACCGCGAGGUGGAGCAAAACUCAAAAAUAACGUCCCAGUUCGGACUGUAGUCUGCAACCCGACUACACGAAGCUGGAAUCGCUAGUAAUCGCGGAUCAGAAUGCCGCGGUGAAUACGUUCCCG